AUUGAACGCUGGCGGCAUGCCUUACACAUGCAAGUCGAACGGUAACAGGUCUUCGGAUGCUGACGAGUGGCGAGCGGGUGAGUAAUACAUCGGAACGUGCCCGAUCGUGGGGGAUAACGAAGCGAAAGCUUUGCUAAUACCGCAUAAGAUCUACGGAUGAAAGCAGGGGACCGCAAGGCCUUGCGCGAACGGAGCGGCCGAUGGCAGAUUAGGUAGUUGGUGGGAUAAAAGCUUACCAAGCCGACGAUCUGUAGCUGGUCUGAGAGGACGACCAGCCACACUGGGACUGAGACACGGCCCAGACUCCUACGGGAGGCAGCAGUGGGGAAUUUUGGACAAUGGGCGAAAGCCUGAUCCAGCCAUGCCGCGUGCAGGAUGAAGGCCUUCGGGUUGUAAACUGCUUUUGUACGGAACGAAAAGACUCUUUCUAAUAAAGAGGGUCCAUGACGGUACCGUAAGAAUAAGCACCGGCUAACCUCGUGCCAGCCGCCGCAGUAA
rnacentral:rRNA from 1 species